rnacentral:rRNA from 1 species
CAGCAGUAGCCACGGUAAUACGUAGGGUGCGAGCGUUAAUCGGAAUUACUGGGCGUAAAGCGUGCGCAGGCGGUUCGUUAAGACAGAUGUGAAAUCCCCGGGCUUAACCUGGGAACUGCAUUUGUGACUGGCGAGCUAGAGUAUGGCAGAGGGGGGUAGAAUUCCACGUGUAGCAGUGAAAUGCGUAGAGAUGUGGAGGAAUACCGAUGGCGAAGGCAGCCCCCUGGGCCAAUACUGACGCUCAUGCACGAAAGCGUGGGGAGCAAACAGGAUUAGAUACCCCCGUAGUCCCUGUCUCUUAUAC